rnacentral:rRNA from 1 species
CCCUUAGAUGUUCUGGGCCGCACACGCGCUACACUGAAGGAGGCAGCGUGUACUCCUGGAUCGAAAGAUUUGGGUAACCCGCGAAUCUCCUUCGUGCUAGGGAUUGAGGUUUGCAAUUAUCCUUCAUGAACGAGGAAUUCCCAGUAAGUGCAAGUCAUAAGCUUGCGCUGACUACGUCCCUGCCCUUUGUACACUCCGCCCGUCGCACCUACCGAUUGAAUGGUCCGGUGAAAUCUCGGGACGGCGGCUUGGUCGCUUGCGUCCGACUGCUGAAACUUGAUUAAACCAUAUCAUUUAGAGGAAGGUGAANUCGUAACA